GAUGAACGCUGGCGGCGUGCCUAAUACAUGCAAGUCGAGCGAACAGACGAGGAGCUUGCUCCUCUGACGUUAGCGGCGGACGGGCGAGUAACACGUGGAUAACCUACCUAUAAGACUGGGAUAACUUCGGGAAACCGGAGCUAAUACCGGAUAAUAUAUUGAACCGCAUGGUUCAAUAGUGAAAGACGGUUUUGCUGUCACUUAUAGAUGGAUCCGCGCCGCAUUAGCUAGUUGGUAAGGUAACGGCUUACCAAGGCAACGAUGCGUAGCCGACCUGAGAGGGUGAUCGGCCACACUGGAACUGAGACACGGUCCAGACUCCUACGGGAGGCAGCAGUAGGGAAUCUUCCGCAAUGGGCGAAAGCUUGACGGAGCAACGCCGCGUGAGUGAUGAAGGUCUUCGGAUCGUAAAACUCUGUUAUUAGGGAAGAACAAAUGUGUAAGUAACCAUGCACGUCUUGACGGUACCUAAUCAGAAAGCCACGGCUAACUACGUG
rnacentral:rRNA from 1 species